rnacentral:rRNA from 1 species
GGAUGUGUUAAUACCGGCACUAAAGCACCGGAUCCCAUCGGAACUCUGAAGUUAAGUGUGCUUGGGCGAGAGUAGUACUAGGAUGGGAGACCUCCUGGGAAGUCCUCGUGUUUCAUUCC